GGAAGUGUGGCAGAGCGGCCGAAUGCGCCCGCCUUGAAAGCGGGUGAGGGUAAAACCUCCGGGGGUUCAAAUCCCUCCACUUCCG
rnacentral:tRNA from 1 species